rnacentral:rRNA from 1 species
UACGAAGGGGGCUAGCGUUGCUCGGAAUCACUGGGCGUAAAGCGCACGUAGGCGGACUCUUAAGUCGGGUGUGAAAGCCCCGGGCUCAACCUGGGAAUUGCAUUCGAGACUGAAUAGCUAGGGUACGGUAGAGGGAAGUGGAAUUUCCGGUGUAGCGGUGAAAUGCGUAGAUAUCGGAAGGAACAUCAGUGGCGAAAGCGACUUCCUGGACCAGUACCGACGUUCAGGCACGAAAGCGUGGGGAGCAAACAGG